ensembl:lncRNA
CAGCGAGGAGGCGGAGGCGCGCUCAGUGGGCAGAGGUCCAAGGCAAAGCCUUGGGCAGCCGGCUGAGGAGUCAGAUCUGUUCGCGGUAGGCAUCCAGCAGGCGGAGGCUUGCGUGUCGAGACCCCACCAGGGUGAACUUUCUCAUCUUGGUCUUCACACUCUCCAUGGUCCCAUCCAGCUUCUAAGGGUGAAGCCUCCUUUAUGUAUCCCUCCCUCCGCUCUCCUCAGAAAGAAGAAGCAACCCAGGUUUCCUGGCUCAGGAGAGUGCCUUUGCGAAAAAACCCUGGGUCUCUUGUUUCAGCUCAGUGUUUUAACAGGUAAGAGAAUCAAGACUCAGAAAACCAAGUAGUGCAAGGCAUGGUUUGGAGGCUGCUGCAUGGGCAGGUGCUGACCAGGAGAGAGAGACAAAGG